AGAGUUUGAUCCUGGCUCAGGACGAACGCUGGCGGCGCGCCUAACACAUGCAAGUCGAACGAGAGAGAGGGAGCUUGCUUCCUUGAUCGAGUGGCGAACGGGUGAGUAACGCGUGAGGAACCUGCCUCAAAGAGGGGGACAACAGUUGGAAACGACUGCUAAUACCGCAUAAGCCCACGACCCGGCAUCGGGAAGAGGGAAAAGGAGCAAUCCGCUUUGAGAUGGCCUCGCGUCCGAUUAGCUAGUUGGUGAGGUAAUGGCCCACCAAGGCGACGAUCGGUAGCCGGACUGAGAGGUUGAACGGCCACAUUGGGACUGAGACACGGCCCAGACUCCUACGGGAGGCAGCAGUGGGGAAUAUUGCACAAUGGGGGAAACCCUGAUGCAGCGACGCCGCGUGGAGGAAGAAGGUCUUCGGAUUGUAAACUCCUGUUGUUGAGGAAGAUAAUGACGGUACUCAACAAGGAAGUGACGGCUAACUACGUGCCAGCAGCCGCGGUAAAACGUAGGUCACAAGCGUUGUCCGGAAUUACUGGGUGUAAAGGGAGCGCAGGCGGGCGAUCAAGUUGGAAGUGAAAUCCAUGGGCUCAACCCAUGAACUGCUUUCAAAACUGGUCGUCUUGAGUAGUGCAGAGGUAGGCGGAAUUCCCGGUGUAGCGGUGGAAUGCGUAGAUAUCGGGAGGAACACCAGUGGCGAAGGCGGCCUACUGGGCACCAACUGACGCUGAGGCUCGAAAGUGUGGGUAGCAAACAGGAUUAGAUACCCUGGUAGUCCACACCGUAAACGAUGAUUACUAGGUGUUGGGGAGGAUUGACCCUCUCAGUGCCGCAGUUAACACAAUAAGUAAAUCCACCUGGGGAGUACGACCGCCAAGGUUGAAACUCAAAGGAAUUGACAGGGGCCCGCACAAGCAGUGGAGUAUGUGGUUUAAUUCGACGCAACGCGAAGAACCUUACCAAGUCUUGACAUCCUCUGACGAACGUAGAAAUACGUUUUCUCUUCGGAGCAGAGAGACAGGUGGUGCAUGGUUGUCGUCAGCUCAUGUCGUGAGAUGUUGGGUUAAGUCCCGCAACGAGCGCAACCCUUAUGGUCAGUUACUACGCAAGAGGACUCUGGCCAGACUGCCGUUGACAAAACGGAGGAAGGUGGGGAUGACGUCAAAUCAUCAUGCCCCUUAUGGCCUGGGCUACACACGUACUACAAUGGCGUCUACAAAGAGCGGCAAGCCUGUGAAGGCAAGCGAAUCUCAUAAAGGACGUCUCAGUUCGGAUUGAAGUCUGCAACCCGACUUCAUGAAGUCGGAAUUGCUAGUAAUCGUGGAUCAGCAUGCCACGGUGAAUACGUUCCCGGGCCUUGCACACACCGCCCGUCA
rnacentral:rRNA from 1 species